GACGGGGACCCGCACAAGUAGCGGAGCAUGUGGUUUAAUUCGAAGCAACGCGAAGAACCUUACCUAAGCUUGACAUCCCAAUGACAUCUCCUUAAUCGGAGAGUGCCCUUCGGGGACAUUGGUGACAGGUGGUGCAUGGUUGUCGUCAGCUCGUGUCGUGAGAUGUUGGGUUAAGUCCCGCAACGAGCGCAACCCUUGUCUUUAGUUGCCAUCAUUAAGUUGGGCACUCUAGAGA
rnacentral:rRNA from 1 species